AUCAUUUAUCUUACAUACUUAUUGUGUAAGGUGCUGUUAAUGAUGACUUAAAGUUGAAACAGAUGGGAAUCUCUCUGACAGAGAAUGAAGAUUAACGUUAAACUGAAACAGUAGUUGGAAAAUAUUUAGAAAUAUCUUUGUUAAAAACCUAUUGCUAAGUUAGACUAAAUUCCUGCAGGUACACAGACUCAGCUUGGGAAGCAGUGGCAAGAAGUUUUAAGCAAAGAUCCUACCCUGUAUUUUCCAUUAAUGCCAGGAGUGAAGCUGGACAAGGUGUGUCUAUGAUCCUCCUAUCUACACUAUCCUGAGGGAUGACCAUCUCAUGAGCCCAGGAGAAGCAAUAAUGAGAACUCAUGAUUGGGGAGGUGUGCUGCAUCCUGAGAUCUAGGGCUUUUGUGGCAGCUGCAGGGAUAUCACUUAACCUUUAGGAAGCUGGAUGGAUGCUCUUCUCUUGGGAUAGAAGAUUGAAUAUGUCAUCACUUUAAGUUUCUGAAGAGAUCUGAGUCUAGUUUUGGGCUGGGGGUUGAACCCAUGAAGUAUAUUUCAAGCAUGAUGGGGAAGGGAAUAAAGGUGCCUAAUAAAAGUCACUAAGGAAAAUUUUA